rnacentral:rRNA from 1 species
UACGAAGGAUGCAAGCGUUAUCCGGAUUUAUUGGGUUUAAAGGGUGCGUAGGCGGAGUUAUAAGUCAGUGGUGAAAUCUCGUUGCUUAACAACGAACGUGCCAUUGAUACUGUAGGUCUUGAGUACAGAUGCCGUUGGCGGAAUGUGUCAUGUAGCGGUGAAAUGCAUAGAUAUGACACAGAACACCGAUUGCGAAGGCAGCUGACGAAACUGUAACUGACGCUGAGGCACGAAAGCGUGGGGAUCAAACAGG